rnacentral:rRNA from 1 species
GAUGAACGCUGGCGGCGUGCCUAAUACAUGCAAGUCGAGCGAACAGACGAGGAGCUUGCUCCUCUGACGUUAGCGGCGGACGGGUGAGUAACACGUGGAUAACCUACCUAUAAGACUGGGAUAACUUCGGGAAACCGGAGCUAAUACCGGAUAAUAUAUUUGAACGGAAGGGUCAAUAAGUAAAAGCCGGUUUUCUGUCACUUAUUAAUUGAUCCGCGCCGCAUUAGCUAGUUGGUAAGGUAACGGCUUACCAAGGCAACGAUGCGUAGCCGACCUGAGAGGGUGAUCGGCCACACUGGAACUGAGACACGGUCCAGACUCCUACGGGAGGCAGCAGUAGGGAAUCUUCCGCAAUGGGCGAAAGCCUGACGGAGCAACGCCGCGUGAGUGAUGAAGGUCUUCGGAUCGUAAAACUCUGUUAUUAGGGAAGAACAAAUGUGUAAGUAACUAUGCACGUCUUGACGGUACCUAAUCAGAAAGCCACGGCUAACUACGU